rnacentral:rRNA from 1 species
UACGUAGGGUGCGAGCGUUUGUCCGGAAUUAUUGGGCGUAAAGCGCGUGUAGGCGGCUAUUGCAAAGUCCGGGGUGUGAAAAGCCCCUCAGCUCAACUGAGGAAGUGCGCCCGAAACUGCAGUGCUUGAAGUACCGGAGAGGAUGGCGGAAAUGCCCCAAGUAGAGGUGAAAUUCGUAGAUAGUGGGGCGGAACACCGGUGGCGAAGGCGGCCAUCUGGACGGCUAUU